AAUUAUGUAGCAGACGAAACACCAAAGUAAACAACGUGUCAUUUUCUUGCAGACUCGAUUGUCAAUUGCUGUCUAAAUUUACGUUUCGCUAUGUCUGAAGAGCAAGUAGUUAAUAUGAUUUUCAACGAAGAAAAAGACGACGAUGAUGAAGAUGAACCAGAACUGUCUCUGUCAACCCUUGCUGCCUUGAACGAAUUUCUCUCAGAAAAGAAGGAAAGAGAAGAACGACUACGGUCAAUUGCAGAAUCAGCUGAAAAGGACAACAAAGUUCUCGACGAAGUUGUUUUAGAAGAAGAUUGGCAACUCAGCCAAUUUUGGUAUGAUGACCACACUUCCGCUGUUCUUGCCAGAGAAGCUUUGAGGCUAGCUGGUAGCGAUGGACGGAUUGCUUGUAUAUCUUGUCCAACUCUGUACAAAGAAUUAAGAAAACUGAAACCUGAAUCUGUCAAAGCCCACCUCUUUGAAUAUGAUACACGCUUUAGUGUGUAUGGAGACGAUUUUACCUUUUAUGACUACCACUCUCCACUAGAAGUUCCAAGAGAGCUCGGUUCAUCAUUUGAAGUGGUAGUGGCUGACCCACCUUUCCUGAGCGAGGAAUGUUUAACUAAAACUGCUCUGACUAUGAGAUACCUCUCCAAAGGUCCACUCAUCCUUUGUACAGGAAGUAUUAUGGAGGACUUGGCGGGUCGUUUGCUACAGCUCAAAAUGUGUGCAUUCCAACCAAAACACCGGAAUAAUCUCGCAAACGAUUUUCGCUGCUAUGCCAACUACGAUUUUGAUUCAGCAUUAAUCACUACUCAUGAAACGUGAUGAAGCAUAUUGAUUAUCACCUAAGUUUCUCGAAAGCUAUUCAGAAACUGGCUCAUACAUUUUGAAAUGACACAACACCAAGUGAUAAUAAAGUUCCUCCCGCCCUGUGUGUAAAUUCAAAUUGCUCGUAUUGCCAGCGGCAUGCAUACAGGCGAAUGCAGAGUUAUUUUAAAUGCAUCCAGUAUAACUCAUCAUAGAAAAUCACGAGUACCACGUAAGCUUUGGCGGUCUAUUUACCUUAACUAAUAAGGUUGUUUUUUCCUUGCCCCGGAAACAAUUUCAAAAGAGGAAAGUUUAAAAAAUACCUUUUACAGUUCUGUUUCCCAAUUUAUUCAAUUGAAUUUGACUAUACCGCUAUACCUUGAAGAAAAGACGCUGUUGGAGCUGUGAGAAUUUGCGGGAACGUGAUUCUGGGAAGCCUAAAAUCACCGCGUGGAAGUGUUGACGAGAGUAAAUUGCUUUGCAAUUAGCUGACAAUGUCCGAAAACCUAGCUAUAUAUAAGAACCCGUUGCUUAGACAGUCGGUGCACACCGAGAAUUCCUUUGGUCGGAGAUACACGACAUGCAAUCCCAUCUUUUCAGGUAUCUAUUGGGCCCGAUUAUUUUGUCGGCUUUUCCGGACGCUUUAUUUCACCAGCCUCUUCAUCUGCCACGGCAGGGACAAUUUAUUCCGUUAUUGCCUUACGGUUCGCCACUUCAUGUCCUACUUAAUAACCAGCCACGUUACCACGAAUAUGCCGAAGACGAUACGAUUCAUUUAAGAACUUCAUAUUUGUUUAAUGACAAUCAGAAUGACCAACAACAGGAAGAAAUUGACGUCAGAAGUCGAAACAAAAACGGAAUGGCGAAUGAAUAUCCGGACGCUCAACUAAGAAUAAACAGCCUCCAACGUUUUCUAUUUGGCGGAAGUAAUACUAAUCCUUUCUGGAAGACAGCAACUUACACUUCGGUAGCAUCACUAAGCGUGACAAGUGUACAGAAUUGUAUUCCGUCCUGGUUAUUUGUUGGUGGCAGUUCUACUAAUCCCUGUCGUCGCAAGAAGCGUGAAUUCCCAUCAGAAGAUGCUUUGCAAUUCCCCAUCGAUCCUUCAGAACGUCAACGAUUAACCGUAACGGCACUUCCUUCUAUGGAUCUGUUAAUGCGAAACAAUGGUCAACCUCGAACUACCAUAGUAUCUUCUAAAGAUGAAGUAAUUCCGAAUGAAGAUGGGCAGGAGCGACAGGACUUGGAUAAGGAGAAUCGACUUUUCUACAAGUUUGUGGCAUCUACAACAGCUUUCUCUUAUAUAUUUUCAACCUUCUUUUUCACUCGAACGAUAAGGCCUGUAGCAAAUAAUUACCAAGUGUUGUGUAUGCCGGAUGGCUACGUUGUUUGCAGUUAGUUAGAGUGCGUUGCUUUAAGACGACACAUCCAUUUUGUUUCCUUGUUGUUGUUGAUGACCUCAAACUUAAUCAACCAUAGCAGUUUUUAUCCCAUUAAAAUGCUCUUUACUUGUUUGUUUACUAUAACAUGUGAAAUACGUAGUUCCAAUUACCAGUCGUUGUGUUUUAACCAAAGAAGUAAAUUAUUUCGGCUAGAUUCGAAAAAAUUCUGGAAGAAACAACAUUGAACAUUUUUAUAGCCACAAGGGUCCCCUCGUCCGCUUCCCCAGAACUAUUGUAUUAUAAUAAACAACCUGGCAACCGUGAACAACAUAUUUGCGCAAUUUUUUACAAUCAGGACAUUUUUAUCGUCCCUUGGGCACAACUCGAUAGAAAGCGUUUGGGGUAUUUUGAAUCUGAAACAUUGAAUGUCUAUUUUUUCUUUCAUCUAAUUUUGUUGACAGAUAUUUUAAUUGACAAAUCAAGUUUUCGAAGGAAUGGUAAAAAUUUGCGUGUUUCAAUAACCAUGACGUUAUAGUUUGUCCGUUGAUAAAUCUAAACUAGGGUCUCUCAUCAUCAGGAACGUCAGAUUUAUGGCAGCCGCAGGUUCCUAACAGAAAUGGAGGAAUUAACUAAAGAAAAUUGUCAUAUCAUUUAUUUUACUUAAUAACGAUGAAUUAAUCACAAUCCUGUACAUACCACAGGUUUGAAGAUUCCCGCCUUCACAGCCUCUCAAAUCGCACAAAUUUUCGCCUCUGAAAUGUGGCAAAGGUACGCCGUUCCAGUAAUAAGGAUCGUUAUUGGUCAUCCAUUCUGGAGUCGUGUUUCCGUUGUUUCUCAGCCAAACUAAAUUACGCCAGCUAUCCAUAUGCUUAUCCGGUGAUCCUAAAUCAAACGUUCCCUUUUGGUGACCGAAUCAAUUUGAUUUCAAUUUUCCUGCCACGGACAUUACCUGGAUUGCGGUAAUCUUCAAAGUAGCAACAAGUUCCCGAGCCGCCAUCAUCGUGAUAAGUUCCUUGACGCAACUUUCCGACGUACGAAAUAGGAUGUGUCGACUCGAACACUUCAUAGCGGCCUGGAUUACGAGUGUACCAGCCUUCGUGUUGAUAGAAAAUGACACGAUCCACUUGGCUGCCGUUCAAAACCUAAAUUGAAAUGGACCGGCUCCAAUUUCUGAGCAUGACACCCUUUCAAACUGGCGAUUUAAUCACCUUGACUACAUAACGUCCCCAGUUGACAUCGUCUCCAGGAUCUCCCGGUAACAUAGGGCAGUCAUCUUUGUAGCCGUAAAAGAACCAAUAAGAAAAGAUCAUGUUAUUGUUUUCACACUCGUCAGCUUCGUAAUAAGCCGGGAUACGCCCAUCCAAAAUGCUGAUAUAAUCCAUGUUGCAAACCUAGGAUUCAAACAAAUCCCAUAAAUGAUUGGCUGGAAAGGUUACCAGGAUGGAAUACAUUACUCUUCCAGUGAAUCCAUUUUGACGGAGGCGGAAAUAAUCCUCGGCGCUACUGGGAAGGCAUUGGCCGAGUGUAUCGCCGGAUUUAGAAUCAAAACGGAGCCGUGGAGCGUACUGAACGACUAAAUCGUGAAGUUCAUGCACUUCAUCCUUUACACAUUCUUAAAAAAAAAAAUCAAUAGGUUAUUCAAUUUUAAACAAAUUUAUGCGAUCUGUGAAACUACCUGAUGCCUUGAAAAAGACCAAGGCAACGGAAAAAAGCAGUGCCCACUUAAUGAACAUCUUUCAGAUUCCACAAACGAGUGCUGCGCAACACGAAAAGCUCAGCACCUUUUUAUUAAUUUCUGUAACGCUAUAAAAAACCCGGGAAACGGAUAACAUCUCAAAUUGAUUUAUAGCCAAGGAUUUAAUUAAGCGCGCUGUACUCUGACCCUUAACUAUUAAACGACUGAUAAGUCUAAGUAACGACACGAAAUGUUCAACGGUCGCGCGUGAUUCAAAGUGCGACUCCAAAAAUGUAAAACGAUCAAGGUCUUUUGCCAUUACGUCUGCUUUAUCUCGAAACUCGAUAGUCUAGACUUUUGUUUGUUUAUGUCACGAAUAACUUAUAAAACAAAAAAGUGAAAGUAAUCGUUAGACUGUUGUUUUUGUUUGUUCUUUUGACCCAGGAAACAUUUAUUGGAAAUAAUGAUUGAACGUGCGUCACUAUGCAGUGCGUCCGGGGAAAGAGGUAAUACAUCAAUUAAAAGCCUCCCACUCUCGAAAGUCAUAUCUCUUGUGUGUUAUUAGUAUUUGAUCCAUUCGUCAAAAACGGAGUUUUUUUUCUAAACUUUGAUUUCGUUCCUAAGGUGCAGUAUUCGGUUACAUAGAUACUCGGGUUCCACGCGGACUUGUUGAUAUUUUGUUUAAACAGCUAUUAAAGAUAUUUUGAAAGAAAUUAUGUCUCUUCAAGCGUCCGCUGGAUUCAAUAUUUGCUAAGUUGGGGCCAUUCGUAAACGUCUGGCAGUGCUGAUUUAU